GAUAGGCUUGGAUCCUAUGUUACUUUUAUUGUCCUGUAAAUGGUUCAGUGCCUAUAAUUUAGGCUGUGUGUAGAAUGGGGCAUAAAGAAAAUUACCUCUAUUACUACUAGAUUAUAGUGAUAAGGAAAACAGCAUACAAAUGUGGCUUGUGUACUCACUUGCCUAUAACUAAUCAUAAUUCCAUUAUUUUUACAUAAAAAAAGAAUACUUCAAAAUGAGAAGAUCCUGCCAUGGAAAAGACGACUAGGUGGACAUAAAGUGGAAAGGAGGGGAAAUAACUCGCACUAUGCAGCAGGACACCUUCAGCUGUGGGGUCUUUGUAAUGCAGAUGGCCAAGGAAGUUGCAUAGAACUUCCCCAACAUCCCCUCUCAAAUUGAUAUGGAACCUUCAAAAACACAUGGAGCAACUGCGAAAAGAAAUGGCUGAGAAUUUACUAAAAAUGUCUGAGUUCAACAAAGCCAACAACUGCGUCAUGUGUGCCACUGAUAAAGAACCUGGAUGUGGCCCAAAGACUGACUGGUGUGCUGUGCCUAGGAAUGAAGACAAGAGUUCAACAGAGUAAAGAACACAAACUGGAAGUGCUGUCUUUGUUGUUGAAAAUGUAUGCUAUACCCCAGCCACACUGAAGAGGCUCUGAAAUGUACAUCAACCAGGGAUAAAGAGAAAGUUAACACUGUGAAAUGUUUCUUACUUAAUUGAAGUUAUGUCUCUGACAUGUUGAAAAAGAUUAAAGGUCUACAAUUUCUGUUUAA